AGCGGGAUGGAGCAGCAGCAGCUCGCUUGGCUCAUAACCAAGAGGCCGUCGGUGCAAGUCCGGCUCCCGCUACCA
rnacentral:tRNA from 1 species